AGUGAACGCUGGCGGUAGGCCUAACACAUGCAAGUCGAACGGCAGCACAGUAAGAGCUUGCUCUUACGGGUGGCGAGUGGCGGACGGGUGAGGAAUACAUCGGAAUCUACUUUUUCGUGGGGGAUAACGUAGGGAAACUUACGCUAAUACCGCAUACGACCUACGGGUGAAAGCAGGGGAUCUUCGGACCUUGCGCGAUUGAAUGAGCCGAUGUCGGAUUAGCUAGUUGGCGGGGUAAAGGCCCACCAAGGCGACGAUCCGUAGCUGGUCUGAGAGGAUGAUCAGCCACACUGGAACUGAGACACGGUCCAGACUCCUACGGGAGGCAGCAGGGGGGAAUAUUGGACAAGGGGCGCAAGCCUGAUCCAGCCAUACCGCGUGGGUGAAGAAGGCCUUCGGGUUGUAAAGCCCUUUUGUUGGGAAAGAAAAGCAGCAGGUUAAUACCCCGCUGUUCUGACGGUACCCAAAGAAUAAGCACCGGCUAACUUCGU
rnacentral:rRNA from 1 species